GCCACAAACAGCCGUGGCUAUAAGGUAUACUGAAAUUAGGUAUCCUUUAUAGCCACAAACAGCCAUGGCUAUAAGGUAUACUGAAAUUGGGUAUCCUUUAUAGCCACAAACAGCCGUGGCAAAAGGUAUGCUGAAAUCUAUACUGAAAUCAGGUACUGAUCUAUUAUAGCCACAACCAGCCGUGGCUAUAAGGUAUACUGAAAUUGGGUAUCCUUUACAGUCACAACCAGCCGUGGCUAUAAGGUAUACUGAAAUUGGGUAUCCUUUAUAGCCACAAACAGCCGUGGCAAAAGGUAUACUGAAAUCUAUACUGAAAUCCGGUACUGAUCUAUUAUAGCCACAAACAGCCGUGGCUAUAAGGUAUACUGAAAUUGGGUAUCAUUUACAGUCACAACCAGCCGUGGCUAUAAAGUAUACUGAAAUUGGGUAUCAUUUAUAGCCACAAACAGCCGUGGCAAAAGGUAUGCUGAAAUCCGGUACACUUUAUAGGCACAAACCGCCGUGGCUAUAAGGGAAAGUACAUUUAUUACACCGAGGGAGGGGGAUGAAGAUGUCUUGAAAAAAGCUCAUAUUUUUACAGGGCCCCUGUUGAGG